GCUCAAGCGAUUUUCCUGCCUCAGCCUCCCGAGUGGCUGGGAUUACAGGCGCACACCACCAUGCCCAGCUAACUUUUGUAUUUUUAGUAGAGACGGGGUUUCCCCAUGUUGACCAGGCUGGUCUCAAACUCCUGAUCUCAGGUGAUCCACCUGCCUCAGCCUACCAAAGUGCUGGGAUUACAGCUCUUUUCUUGGAAGAGAAGAAACCGUUUCAAAAAAUUAUUAAGGGAGCAACAAAGGGCUGUUUUGUACAUUCAUUACAUUCACGAGCCCCAGCAGCUACUAUUAAUGAGUGUCUGGAAUAUGUUCCUGGCAUUUCACCUACCCUCUCUCCAAUCCUUCCAAGAAACUCACAAAGCAGGGCUUUUUCUUGAACUUCUCUUCCUCACAACAGUUAAAUCAUCCAUUUAAAGAUGUCAAACAACCUCCGUGUUCUAAGCCAGACCAUCAACUUAACUUGUAAAACUACCAACUGUUGCUACACACAGGCAAAGGAAUUAAACUUGGUAGCUGAUCAUUUGAUUACAUCUAUCAGUCUACUGGAGGGCUUCAACGCAGAGUAGGUGGAAUUCAUGGUUCAAAUCAGAGUAUUAAUGGGAUCUGUU
rnacentral:lncRNA from 1 species